rnacentral:rRNA from 1 species
UGGGGAAUCUUGCACAAUGGGCGGAAGCCUGAUGCAGCGACGCCGCGUGCGGGACGAAGGCCUUCGGGCUGUAAACCGCUUUCAGCAGGGACGAGGCGAGAGUGACGGUACCUGCAGAAGAAGCCCCGGCUAACUACGUGCCAGCAGCCGCGGUAAUACGUAGGGGGCAAGCGUUAUCCGGAUUCAUUGGGCGUAAAGCGCGCGUAGGCGGCCAGCCUGGUCGGGAGUCAAAUCCGGGGGCUCAACCCCCGUCCGCUCCCGAUACCGGCCGGCUUGAGUCUGGCAGGGGAAGGCGGAAUUCCCGGUGUAGCGGUGGAAUGCGCAGAUAUCGGGAAGAACACCGGUGGCGAAGGCGGCCUUCUGGGCCACGACUGACGCUGAGGCGCGAAAGCUAGGGGAG